rnacentral:rRNA from 1 species
CCUACGGGAGGCAGCAGUGAGGAAUAUUGGUCAAUGGACGAGAGUCUGAACCAGCCAAGUAGCGUGAAGGAUGUCUGCCCUAUGGGUUGUAAACUUCUUUUAUAUGGGAAUAAAACGUUCCACGUGUGGGAUUUUGUAUGUACCAUAUGAAUAAGGAUCGGCUAACUCCGUGCCAGCAGCCGCGGUAAUACGGAGGAUCCGAGCGUUAUCCGGAUUUAUUGGGUUUAAAGGGAGCGUAGGUGGAUUGUUAAGUCAGUUGUGAAAGUUUGCGGCUCAACCGUAAAAUUGCAGUUGAAACUGGCAGUCUUGAGUACAGUAGAGGUGGGCGGAAUUCGUGGUGUAGCGGUGAAAUGCUUAGAUAUCACGAAGAACUCCGAUUGCGAAGGCAGUUCACUGGACUGCAACUGACACUGAGGCUCGAAAGUGUGGGUAUCAAACAGGAUUAGAUACCCCAGUAGUC